UAGUUGCCAGUGCGCGCUGUAUUAACGGUGGUCGAUGUGGGUGAUUACUCGUGCGUACGCCGUGCCGAGAGAAAUUGCGGUGCAUUUUGUAAGCAUUGAGAAUCAAAACCCCUUGGACUGCGUAAUGUAGCUCGCAGUAUAUUUCGUGUGGUGCGCCGAUGUCGAAUACCUUCGCGCAUUCGUUUCCGGCUUGUGGAAAGCCUGUGUCUUAAGAAUCUCCUCCUCUCGCACUCUCGCGUCGUAUCACAGUGCACGGAAGUAUUUGGGGAAACUUGUGCUAUUACGUGCUGUAGUCGAUCCGCAAUUCAACGGUGUUCACGCCGGAAGGACCGUCGGUGCAGUCGAUGCUCGAAAGGGAUGUCAAGAUUUUGUGAACCAGAGGCACCUCCACAUGUGCACCUGCAGCACUUCUGCAGCCUCAACAACACGGCAAGGUAACUAAUGGGCAUGCUGCGACAAGCUGCUAUAGGUAUGGCUGGACCUGGAGAAGAAGUGUAAGCAGACCAUGCCAUGUUGCUGAUCUGCGCCGAUCUCCACAUCCAAGCUGGUCCCGCGACAGUUGGGCACCACUGUGCCUUGCUUCAUUGACAAGGUGAUAUAAUAUGCCAAAGGCACAUGACUGCUGUGGGUCGGCGACGAGGAGGAAGAAAAGGGCCGGUUCUGGUCUGAGGCGGCAGCCAUGCGGAACUGCCUGAGCCUGCCCGAGCGGGCCUUCUGUGCCGAACGAGCCGAGCAGUUCGUCUACCCAAGGCCGAUGUUCCUGGAUGUGCUGGCGGAACAGGCCGGGCUGUCCUUGGGCGUCAACCGGCCCUGCUCCACUGCUGGGCAAGCAUCCGAAGCCGGCGUGUUCUGGUGCAGCUAAGCUUUCCAAACGGACUAGCCUGUGGUGGGCAGACGUCCCGACUCAGCUGUCAUGCGAGCGGCCUGUCGUGUGCCGGGCAUCCGCCUCGGCCUCCAGCCCCUGCGCCACCUGCUGCUCCAGAUUCAUCGUUGCGUCUCUUCGUGCCGUGCCCUGCUCGCUGUCACCCAAGCAACACAUCCCAGCGAUCUUCUCUCGGCAGACUGGGUGCAUCGAAGUACGAUUAGAAGGUCCAAUAAACACUGCUUGUGACAAGUA